AUUAGCAUAAUUUAUUUAAGUUAAGAGCCGCUUGUGGGAGGUGAGUGUCUUGUAUCCCGCAAGUGACGUCAUGUCACCUGCUGCUGCUUCGUGACGUCGCGAGGUAUCAGGAAUCUGCGCUACGCGCGUGAACUGAAAUCCGACGCCACGCUCGCGUUGAGCUGCCGAAGCGACCUGCCCACAACAACAAGCUGUCGCUUCCUCUGCAGAAUUGGUCUGAUGGAGCAAAGGCACUCGGCGCAGGUCGGUGCAAAAAGGCAUCAAUGCGACCGGUGUACAUACAGCACAGAUCGUCCUGAACAUUUGACACAGCACCAGAGAACUCACUCAGGAGAGAAACCCUUCAAGUGCAGUGUGUGUGGGAAGGCGUUUGCACAAUCAUCUGCUCUUGUAGCACACCAGAGAAUACACACGGGAGAGAAACCCUUCAAGUGCAGUGUGUGUGGGAAGGCGUUUGCACAGUCAUCUACUCUGGUAACACACCAGAGAACUCACUCGGGAGAAAAACCCUUCAGGUGCAGUGUGUGUGGGAAGGCAUUUUCACAUCCAUCUGCUUUUAAAAAACACCAAAGAACACACACAGGAGAGAAACCCUUCAAGUGCACUUUGUGCAGGAAGGCGUUUUCAGAUUCAUAUAAUCUUGUAACACAUCAGAAAACACACACAGGAGAGAAACCCUUCAAGUGCAG